AAAAAAAAAAAGAAAGAAAGAAAGAUACACGUAUAUUUAAUAAACGCUUGGAUUAAAGUGUUGAAUCAUCCUAAUGAUGAUCCUAAACGUGUUAAACGAUUGAAAUAUUGUAUAAUGAUCUAAUGUAAGGAUAAUAGGCAAAAAGGAUAUGGCAUGAUACACAUCUUAUAGUUUAAUAAUGAUGAAGAAAUAUGUCUGUAUAGGUUGUCAAAUCCUUCUCGAUUGGAUCGCGUGAACAAAGAAGAGAAAAAGAGGAGAUAAGGUAAAGAAUCUUUUUCUUUCGCCUAAAGGAUCGGAACUUCUUAGGGGCUGUUCCUAGUACCUGAUUAUCCUAUCCUUGCGGCACGAAAACUCUCUUUUCUUUCCAUUGACGAAACAAAAACAAAAACAAAAAAAAAAAAACAGCAACAACAAGAAAAACCAUCCUCGUGAUAAUCGAGUUCUCUGUUCUCUCGCGUCUCGCAAGCGCCAGCGAAUUCCUCUGUCCAGUGUUCACACUCGGUAUAGAGAAAGAAAAAAAAUAUCGUAAAACGGUGUUCUUUUUAUUGUUGCAUACCUUGACUGCCUAGUACUUAAGUAUACAUAAUACAUGCAUAUAUAUAUAUAUACAUAUAGAGAGAGACUGCUCUUCGUAAUUUUUCUUCUUUCUUGACACGUUAAUAUGCAUACACAUGAACACGAUGCUUGUCAAGGUGCAACGAAAGGUGCUGACGAAUGCUUGUUUGCGAAAUUUUUGUACGUUGAAAACGUGGAAAACGAAACUUUUCAACUCGUUCGUUCUCCUCGACCCGGUGCGAAUUUCCAAAUCUCGCACAAACACGAACCGAACGAAUAGAGGAAGAGAUAUAAUCGUCGCGACGGCGGAAGUACGAACAAGAAUUCAAGAAAAGGGAAAAAGACAACCAAAAAAAAAAAAAAUAAAUAAAUAAAUAAAUAAAUAAAGUAAAAUAAAACGAGUGAGAGGAAACGAGGUGAAAGUGAUGAAAAAAGCCGAGAGAAAACUUUGAAACACGCCACUCUUGACUUUUUAUUCAGUAUUGUAAUAUCGAUAUGAUAAGCUUCUGGCAAUCGUCUCAUUGUGAUCGGUGAAAAUCUUAUUUUAAAUGCUAUAUCGUGUUUGACACUUUAUUACUAUUAUUACGAUUAUUAUUAUUAUUGUUGUUGUAAUCAACGAACGGAAGGAUUCAUCGUUCGACUUUUUAUCGGUAGGAAUUGCGAUCCUCGGGGCCCAGAAUCAAAAAGAAAAAAAGAAA